rnacentral:rRNA from 1 species
UUACCGAGUGCGGGCCCCUCGGGGCCCAACCUCCCACCCGUGUUGCCCGAACCUAUGUUGCCUCGGCGGGCCCCGCGCCCGCCGACGGCCCCCCUGAACGCUGUCUGAAGUUGCAGUCUGAGACCUAUAACGAAAUUAGUUAAAACUUUCAACAACGGAUCUCUUGGUUCCGGCAUCGAUGAAGAACGCAGCGAAAUGCGAUAACUAAUGUGAAUUGCAGAAUUCAGUGAAUCAUCGAGUCUUUGAACGCACAUUGCGCCCUCUGGUAUUCCGGAGGGCAUGCCUGUCCGAGCGUCAUUGCUGCCCUCAAGCCCGGCUUGUGUGUUGGGCCCCGUCCCCCCCGCCGGGGGGACGGGCCCGAAAGGCAGCGGCGGCACCGCGUCCGGUCCUCGAGCGUAUGGGGCUUCGUCACCCGCUCUAGUAGGCCCGGCCGGCGCCAGCCGACCCCCAACCUUUAAUUAUCUCAGGUUGACCUCGGAUCAGGUAGGGAUACCCGCUGAACUUAAGCAUAUCAAUAAGCGGAGGAAAAGAAACCAACCGGGAUUGCCCUAGUAACGGCGAGUGAAGCGGCAAGAGCUCAAAUUUGAAAGCUGGCCCCCUCGGGGUCCGCAUUGUAAUUUGCAGAGGAUGCUUCGGGAACGGCCCCCAUCUAAGUGCCCUGGAACGGGCCGUCAUAGAGGGUGAGAAUCCCGUCUGGGAUGGGGUGGCCGCGCCCGUGUGAAGCUCCUUCGACGA